ensembl:lncRNA
AUGUAUUCCAUCUCAGGAAAUCUCCUCUCCCCUGACCCAACUCCCUCCUCUGCCUCUGAUGUCGUAGGCCAUAUAAACGCCUCCUCUCAUAAAUAUUAUUUCAAAAUGGGAUUUAAUAACCAGCCCAUGACGCAUUCUCCCCUCUUGAGAUCCUUCAGGGGACAUCAGAAAACACCAUGGGGGGAAGAAGCACAGAAAAGCCAGAGAGUAAGCUCCAGAAAUAUCUUACAAACUAAGGACGUGUGGUUUGAGAUCCAUCCAGUUCAGAACAACACUCCUCAUCAGCAACUCUAAAGCCUCUAGCUGAAUCCAGAAUUAUUCAAGGUGAAGACAGGUAAGAUGUUUAGAAUUAGCUGCAGGUAACUAUGGAUUAAAUACAGACAUACUCAUAUAUCAUUUUCUCCCUCAGGGCUGAGGUGUGUGUACAUUUUCUACCUGCAGCUCAGGUAAGCUUCCUGAUUGACUAAUACUUGCUGGAAGUCUUGAGGGUUUUGCUAAUGAAAGCGGUAUUUCAUAUAUAUGCAUCAAAACUUUUCUCUUUAUGACAGGAUGACUGCUGCAGGUUAGUGGUUCUCCAGUAGGAUCCUUCAAUAUGUCAUGCAAGGAACCCCAAAUAGUAACCUUAAUAUAGUCAAAUCAAGUCUCCUCCAUUUUUUAUAUAACUUUAUACAAUAAUAUCGCUUCAAAGCAGCUUCACAAAAGUAACAGAAUUAAUCUUCAAAUGUUGAUUCAGUUCAGUUCAAUAACUGUUGUUGUUGCAAAUUGUGUCAAUUAUGAAUGAAUUUGAUUCAGCUAUAAAGCAGCUCCACAGUAGACAAUAGGGUUAAUAUUUAGUGAGAGUAGUGUCAGUGCAGUCAAAUCAAUAUUUAAUUUUAAUAUUAGGAUCUUUUAAACCUCAACUAGCAAGACAAAGGCAACAGUGGCAGGGAACCCAAAUUCAAUCUGGUUACAAAAAUGGAGAGAAAAAAUAUUAAAAGUUUCCCUAAAUCAGCAUCCAUAAAUUAAUCACAGGGUGUUAUUGCAUAGAUGUGAUUAUAGGAGAGUCUUAUCUGUUUGACUUGAGCUUUUAUAUGCAAUCAACUCAAAGUGCUGUAAAAGUGGUUCGUCCUAUUUUCCUCGAGGAGCAAAGUCCCAGAUCGUGAGUCAGACAGGAAAUUGUUUAUAUGCACUGAUAUUCGCUCUGAGCUCAGUCGUCCUCUAGCCGUCUCAUGCCUGUCUGUUGAUUUGUGAGAGCCAAGUCACAGUGCGAUGACUGUGUGGUGUUAGGUUUCUUUCCAGUCCCUGGAGUAUGCGAAAAAUGAAGCGCACAUGCAGCACAAGUCCAGAAGAACAUCCAAACAGCCUCAGAGUUGUAUAAACAUGAAACGCAGAAAAGAUGGAAGAAGUAUCUGAAUGAAGUCUGAAUGUGGAUUCAAAUAAACAUCUGUGGAGUGGUCCA